rnacentral:misc_RNA from 1 species
UUUUUUUUUUUUUUUUAAAUUUGCUCCCAACAUGGCAUGAUCUUCCUUUUAUUGGUUAGACCAUUUACUAAAUACCAAGAUCUAUGUUGGUGAGGGCUAGAGAGAAGAUAUUUUGAAUACAAACAAUUCACAGCCUAGAUGAGUUCAAAUGCAAUCAAUUGUAUUGAGACCUUUAGACAUCCUAAUUGUUAAAUAAUAUGGUGUCAUUAUGAUACUAUGGGAUGCAGGAUUAUUGAAUUUCAUGUUUGAAUGUAAGUCUCAGACAAAAUUACUGAUAAAAGGAUUAAGGCUUUUCUUAAAUUGUAAUUCUGCCUUAUAUUUUCAAAAUAAGUGUAGAUACUAGGCUCAAACAGAUGUAUUCUUAUUUUGGGAUCAAGCAGCUGCUUUGUGUCAUAUGUUGAAACUAUAUAGAAAUAGAAAAUUAAGCUGCUCAAGCUUGGCACAUUUUAUCUUUGCUUGAUGUGGAGCAUUUCUUCUGUUGAGCCAAUGCUGAGGGUUUUUUU